rnacentral:rRNA from 1 species
UGGGGAAUAUUGGACAAUGGGGGCAACCCUGAUCCAGCCAUGCCGCGUGUGUGAAGAAGGCCUUUUGGUUGUAAAGCACUUUAAGUAGUGAAGAAGACUCCAUGGUUAAUACCCAUGGACGAUGACAUUAGCUGCAGAAUAAGCACCGGCUAACUCUGUGCCAGCAGCCGCGGUAAUACAGAGGGUGCAAGCGUUAAUCGGAAUUACUGGGCGUAAAGCGAGCGUAGGUGGCUUGAUAAGUCAGAUGUGAAAGCCCCGGGCUUAACCUGGGAACGGCAUCUGAUACUGUUAGGCUAGAGUAGGUGAGAGGAAGGUAGAAUUCCAGGUGUAGCGGUGAAAUGCGUAGAGAUCUGGAGGAAUACCGAUGGCGAAGGCAGCCUUCUGGCAUCAUACUGACACUGAGGUUCGAAAGCGUGGGUAGCAAACA